rnacentral:rRNA from 1 species
CGGCGGACGGGUGAGUAACGCGUGGGGAACCUGCCCUAUACAGGGGGAUAACAGUUAGAAAUGACUGCUAAUACCGCAUAAGCGCACGGAGCCGCAUGGCGCUGAGUGAAAAACGAUAGUGGUAUAGGAGGGACCCGCGUCUGAUUAGGUAGUUGGUGAGGUAACGGCCCACCAAGCCGACGAUCAGUAGCCGACCUGAGAGGGUGACCGGCCACAUUGGGACUGAGACACAGCCCAAACUCCUACGGGAGGCAGCAG